AGAGUUUGAUCAUGGCUCAGGAUGAACGCUAGCUACAGGCUUAACACAUGCAAGUCGAGGGGCAGCAUAAUCGAAGCUUGCUUUGAUUGAUGGCGACCGGCGCACGGGUGAGUAACGCGUAUCCAACCUUCCCCUUAGUAGGGCAUAGCCCGGCGAAAGUCGGAUUAAUACCCUAUGUUGUCCUAUGAGGACAUCUGAGCAGGACUAAAGGUUUACCGCUAAGGGAUGGGGAUGCGUCUGAUUAGCUUGUUGGCGGGGUAACGGCCCACCAAGGCAACGAUCAGUAGGGGUUCUGAGAGGAAGGUCCCCCACAUUGGUACUGAGCCAGGAUCAAACUC
rnacentral:rRNA from 1 species